rnacentral:lncRNA from 1 species
UGUUUGAUGACACUGUGAUCAUACGUUUCUAAUCUCAGGUGACGCCAUGACUCUGCGUCACACAGAGUAUUCUCAUUACAAAGGGAAAAAGUUCAUCAUAGGCACUGUUUGCCCCUUGGUUUUGGGAGUUAUGCUGUUGGGCGCCACAACUACCAAAGUGAGAAUACUCUGCACAUAGCCGAGUUAACUCAAGACGUUACCGUGGGCUAUGAUCGAAUGAGUAGUAUGAGAACCAACUUGUGUCAGUAGAAGAACUGUCCGUUGACACCACGCUACGUAAUUGGUCGAUCCUGCCCCACACAUUGGAAAAUCAUCCAACACCCGGUUAUCACGGUUCUGACGAUUUAUCGGACAACUUUCAUACCACUGUGGGCCGCCACGGCCACAUUUUGGGAACCCCCGGCCGUCGCCGCUGUAGCUGCGUAGUUGAGCCGAUCGUCCGGUAGGUAGCGCCACCGUGUAGAUCCCGCGCUUUGCUCCACGGCGAGAAGAGGCGGUGUUUCUUCCCAGCUCACUCUGUGGCGGGGCGCGGGGGGACCAACAGAAAGACAACUCCCGUGUAUUUACCGUGCCUUCUCCAGCCUAUCACUGUCUCUCUCUUGGCCUGUCUCUCUCUUCGGUUUUCGUCUCUUUCCCUUGUACUCGGUCGGCUUGACGAGUAGUUUUCUCUCCGGCCCGAUCCCCCUAUUCCCGCUCCCGCGCGGCGUACCCCAGCCCCUCUCUCCCUCCCCCUCGCGGCUUCGGAAAUACCGAAUGCCGGUUCGCCUCCUCCCAACCGGGCGUCUCCACGCCAUUCAUGUGUUAGUCCGCGCUUGGAGAGUACCUCGCCCGUGCUUUUUCGCGCUCACUUUCCUCUCUCUCCUUGUUUUCACCGGUUUGUUUACACUGAAAAUUUCCUCCAGUACCCACUCCGGAAAAUUUUGUGCGUCCCUAGCUUACAGAGACUCAUAGCUCCUCGGUAGUUGUGCGCUAAGGCGAAUUCGGGUCUGUCGGAGUUUGGCCAGCGCUGUGGCAAGUGUUGCGAAGGGACUAAAAUGACGCUGCCGAACGACGCCGAACAGGACGAGCGAGGCGAUCAAGGCGCCUGCGGGCCCAACGCCUCCAACACGGCCCCCUCGGCCGAGGAAUACAACGGAUACGGCAGCCUUAACUCCAGAAGCAGGUACACUCCCACUUCAUAUCCGAUCAUUGAUAAGCAAGCUUGUUCACUAAUUUUUAAAGGGACAGAUGUGUUAACAGGGUGUCUACAAGUCCGGAAUUUCCCGGAAGUCCGGAAAUAGUACUGAUUUUUUAAGAGCGGUCCGGAAGUACUGAAAAAGUGCGGAAAAUCCGCAAGAAGGCCCGGAAUUGUUGUCAUUUUUGUCGCAAUUUAUGCGAGAAAUUCAAAUUUUUGAAAUUUUUCGAAUUUUGUAAUUGGAGGUACUGAAAAAGUACUGAAUUUUUCUGUUGAGGAGAUACUGAAUUUCUUGGGAAUGUACUGAAAAAGUACUGUAAAAUUACUGAUUUUUGGUCAGCCUGCAUUAGUAGACACCCUGGUUAAUAUUGUUUCGAUCAUUUGGACCGCGUUAACCAGAAAGGGACCAAGACUCAUCAGCUGUUGCCAAAUUUAAGUGUGCAAUUUUAUUUUUUUACGAGGGAACGUUUGUGCGGA